rnacentral:tRNA from 1 species
GUAAGUAUAGUUUUAAACAAAACAUUAGUCUGUGGACCUAAAAAUAGAAGCUAAAAUCUUCUUGCAUACC